GACGAACGCUGGCGGCGUGCUUAACACAUGCAAGUCGAACGGUGAAGCGCCUUCCUUUUUGGUGGGUGUGGAUGAGUGGCGAACGGGUGAGUAACACGUGAGUAACCUGCCCCCUUCUUCUGGAUAACCGCAUGAAAGUGUGGCUAAUACGGGAUAUUCUGGGUCUGUCGCAUGAUGGGUCUGGGAAAGAUAUUGUUUCGGUGGGGGAUGGGCUCGCGGCCUAUCAGCUUGUUGGUGGGGUGAUGGCCUACCAAGGCGGUGACGGGUAGCCGGCCUGAGAGGGUGGACGGUCACACUGGGACUGAGACACGGCCCAGACUCCUACGGGAGGCAGCAGUGGGGAAUAUUGCACAAUGGGCGCAAGCCUGAUGCAGCGACGCCGCGUGAGGGAUGGAGGCCUUCGGGUUGUGAACCUCUUUCGCCAGUGAAGCAGGCCUGCCUCGUUUGUGGGUGGGUUGACGGUAGCUAGAGAAGAAGCGCCGGCUAACUACGUG
rnacentral:rRNA from 1 species